CCUACGGGGGGCAGCAGUGAGGAAUAUUGGUCAAUGGACGAGAGUCUGAACCAGCCAAGUAGCGUGAAGGAUGACUGCCCUAUGGGUUGUAAACUUCUUUUAUAUGGGAAUAAAAUGUUCCACGUGUGGGAUUUUGUAUGUACCAUAUGAAUAAGGAUCGGCUAACUCCGUGCCAGCAGCCGCGGUAAUACGGAGGAUCCGAGCGUUAUCCGGAUUUAUUGGGUUUAAAGGGAGCGUAGGUGGAGUGUUAAGUCAGUUGUGAAAGUUUGCGGCUCAACCGUAAAAUUGCAGUUGAAACUGGCAGUCUUGAGUACAGUAGAGGUGGGCGGAAUUCGUGGUGUAGCGGUGAAAUGCUUAGAUAUCACGAAGAACUCCGAUUGCGAAGGCAGUUCACUGGACUGCAACUGACACUGAGGCUCGAAAGUGUGGGUAUCAAACAGGAUUAGAUACCCUAGUAGUC
rnacentral:rRNA from 1 species